rnacentral:rRNA from 1 species
GGGUUGUGAGGUUAAGCGACUAAGCGUACACGGUGGAUGCCCUGGCAGUCAGAGGCGAUGAAGGACGUGCUAAUCUGCGAUAAGCGUCGGUAAGGUGAUAUGAACCGUUAUAACCGGCGAUUUCCGAAUGGGGAAACCCAGUGUGAUUCGUCACACUAUCAUUAACUGAAUCCAUAGGUUAAUGAGGCGAACCGGGGGAACUGAAACAUCUAAGUACCCCGAGGAAAAGAAAUCAACCGAGAUUCCCCCAGUAGCGGCGAGCGAACGGGGAGCAGCCCAGAGCCUGAAUCAGUGUGUGUGUUAGUGGAAGCGUCUGGAAAGGCGCGCGAUACAGGGUGACAGCCCCGUACACAAAAAUGCACAUGCUGUGAGCUCGAUGAGUAGGGCGGGACACGUGGUAUCCUGUCUGAAUAUGGGGGGACCAUCCUCCAAGGCUAAAUACUCCUGACUGACCGAUAGUGAACCAGUACCGUGAGGGAAAGGCGAAAAGAACCCCGGCGAGGGGAGUGAAAAAGAACCUGAAACCGUGUACGUACAAGCAGUGGGAGCACGCUUAGGCGUGUGACUGCGUACCUUUUGUAUAAUGGGUCAGCGACUUAUAUUCUGUAGCAAGGUUAACCGAAUAGGGGAGCCGAAGGGAAACCGAGUCUUAACUGGGCGUUAAGUUGCAGGGUAUAGACCCGAAACCCGGUGAUCUAGCCAUGGGCAGGUUGAAGGUUGGGUAACACUAACUGGAGGACCGAACCGACUAAUGUUGAAAAAUUAGCGGAUGACUUGUGGCUGGGGGUGAAAGGCCAAUCAAACCGGGAGAUAGCUGGUUCUCCCCGAAAGCUAUUUAGGUAGCGCCUCGUGAAUUCAUCUCCGGGGGUAGAGCACUGUUUCGGCAAGGGGGUCAUCCCGACUUACCAACCCGAUGCAAACUGCGAAUACCGGAGAAUGUUAUCACGGGAGACACACGGCGGGUGCUAACGUCCGUCGUGAAGAGGGAAACAACCCAGACCGCCAGCUAAGGUCCCAAAGUCAUGGUUAAGUGGGAAACGAUGUGGGAAGGCCCAGACAGCCAGGAUGUUGGCUUAGAAGCAGCCAUCAUUUAAAGAAAGCGUAAUAGCUCACUGGUCGAGUCGGCCUGCGCGGAAGAUGUAACGGGGCUAAACCAUGCACCGAAGCUGCGGCAGCGACACUGUGUGUUGUUGGGUAGGGGAGCGUUCUGUAAGCCUGCGAAGGUGUGCUGUGAGGCAUGCUGGAGGUAUCAGAAGUGCGAAUGCUGACAUAAGUAACGAUAAAGCGGGUGAAAAGCCCGCUCGCCGGAAGACCAAGGGUUCCUGUCCAACGUUAAUCGGGGCAGGGUGAGUCGACCCCUAAGGCGAGGCCGAAAGGCGUAGUCGAUGGGAAACAGGUUAAUAUUCCUGUACUUGGUGUUACUGCGAAGGGGGGACGGAGAAGGCUAUGUUGGCCGGGCGACGGUUGUCCCGGUUUAAGCGUGUAGGCUGGUUUUCCAGGCAAAUCCGGAAAAUCAAGGCUGAGGCGUGAUGACGAGGCACUACGGUGCUGAAGCAACAAAUGCCCUGCUUCCAGGAAAAGCCUCUAAGCAUCAGGUAACAUCAAAUCGUACCCCAAACCGACACAGGUGGUCAGGUAGAGAAUACCAAGGCGCUUGAGAGAACUCGGGUGAAGGAACUAGGCAAAAUGGUGCCGUAACUUCGGGAGAAGGCACGCUGAUAUGUAGGUGAAGUCCCUCGCGGAUGGAGCUGAAAUCAGUCGAAGAUACCAGCUGGCUGCAACUGUUUAUUAAAAACACAGCACUGUGCAAACACGAAAGUGGACGUAUACGGUGUGACGCCUGCCCGGUGCCGGAAGGUUAAUUGAUGGGGUUAGCGCAAGCGAAGCUCUUGAUCGAAGCCCCGGUAAACGGCGGCCGUAACUAUAACGGUCCUAAGGUAGCGAAAUUCCUUGUCGGGUAAGUUCCGACCUGCACGAAUGGCGUAAUGAUGGCCAGGCUGUCUCCACCCGAGACUCAGUGAAAUUGAACUCGCUGUGAAGAUGCAGUGUACCCGCGGCAAGACGGAAAGACCCCGUGAACCUUUACUAUAGCUUGACACUGAACAUUGAGCCUUGAUGUGUAGGAUAGGUGGGAGGCUUUGAAGUGUGGACGCCAGUCUGCAUGGAGCCGGCCUUGAAAUACCACCCUUUAAUGUUUGAUGUUCUAACGUUGACCCGUGAUCCGGGUUGCGGACAGUGUCUGGUGGGUAGUUUGACUGGGGCGGUCUCCUCCUAAAGAGUAACGGAGGAGCACGAAGGUUGGCUAAUCCUGGUCGGACAUCAGGAGGUUAGUGCAAUGGCAUAAGCCAGCUUGACUGCGAGCGUGACGGCGCGAGCAGGUGCGAAAGCAGGUCAUAGUGAUCCGGUGGUUCUGAAUGGAAGGGCCAUCGCUCAACGGAUAAAAGGUACUCCGGGGAUAACAGGCUGAUACCGCCCAAGAGUUCAUAUCGACGGCGGUGUUUGGCACCUCGAUGUCGGCUCAUCACAUCCUGGGGCUGAAGUAGGUCCCAAGGGUAUGGCUGUUCGCCAUUUAAAGUGGUACGCGAGCUGGGUUUAGAACGUCGUGAGACAGUUCGGUCCCUAUCUGCCGUGGGCGCUGGAGAACUGAGGGGGGCUGCUCCUAGUACGAGAGGACCGGAGUGGACGCAUCACUGGUGUUCGGGUUGUCAUGCCAAUGGCACUGCCCGGUAGCUAAAUGCGGAAGAGAUAAGUGCUGAAAGCAUCUAAGCACGAAACUUGCCCCGAGAUGAGUUCUCCCUGACUCCUUGAGAGUCCUGAAGGAACGUUGAAGACGACGACGUUGAUAGGCCGGGUGUGUAAGCGCAGCGAUGCGUUGAGCUAACCGGUACUAAUGAACCGUGAGGCUUAACCUUACAACGCCGAAGGUGUUU